CCUGGAAAAACACUCAGCCAGCACUCCUAGUACAGCCUCACUGCCUGGACAGAGAGGAAUUGUCACCUCCUGUUCAUACAUGUGAAACUCUGGGUGAUUGUUCAGGGCAAGUGAUGCGUGCAGUUGCUUGCAGGGAUUUCUGGCUACAGAUUGCAUCAGGUGCACCUAGGGUCCCAUCGGUUAACACCUCACAGAGCUCUAUAAAUACUGGGACACUCUGUCUCCAUCUGGUAAACAACCUCCAUCUCACUCUGCCUGGUGCCUCUUCUCUGCAGUGACACUGAGAUCCCAGCCGACCUUCAGCCAUGAAGAUCCUGUACCUGCUCUUUGCUGUUGUCCUUCUCCUCUUCCAAGCUGCUCCAGGGUCUGGUAAAGAGUCAAGGAUCCCUUCCUGUAGGUUCCUGGGAGGUUACUGCAUAAGGCCUAGGCAGCGCUGUCACUCAGGACAGUUUCUGAAUGGAUCAUGUGGUCCGAGAGAGAGAUGCUGCAAAAGAUAGAGACCAUGCUGAGCUGCACAUGGGGGGCCUCGGAUCGACCAAAAAGAUGUUUGCUCCCCUCUUUUCAAUAAAGACAAGCUGUUAAAUCAUA